CUUCAUAGCAAAUUUGAGGACAAAUAAAAUGCACAUGAGAAUCAAUAGCACCUGCCGUAAAUAUCUUGCCUUCACCAGCCAGAGCCUCUGUUGCAGCACUCACUGUCAUGCCAGGAGUUACGUCAUCCAUCACAUCAGGGUUACCAGCCUUGCCAAUGCCAACUAUGAUCCCUUUCUUGAUACCGAUAUCAGCUUUGUAUAUUCCAGUAUAGUCCACAAUCAAUGCAUUAGUGAUCACCAGGUCCAGCGCAUGAUCUUCAAGUAUAUUUGUCGCCUGUCCCAUUCCUUCACGGAG
rnacentral:sRNA from 1 species